CUGGCUCAGGAUGAACGCUAGCGGCAGGCCUAAUACAUGCAAGUCGGACGGGAUUGGGACUUCGGUUCCAUGAGAGUGGCGCACGGGUGCGUAACACGUAUGUAACCUACCUUAGUCAGGGGGAUAGCCUCUCGAAAGAGAGAUUAAGACCGCAUAAAAUCAUGAUAUGGCAUCGUAUUAUGAUCAAAUAUUUAUAGGACUAAGAUGGGCAU
rnacentral:rRNA from 1 species